GGCGGAGCUCCCUCGCGCCGAGUCGUCGUCGCCGCUUGGCCGGUAGCGGCGGCCCUGGCAGAGAGCGAGCUCCGCGCUGCCCGCCGGCUCCUUCUGCACAGACUCAAACAUGGCUGAGGACCCGCAGAGAAAUUUCCGAUCAGUGUAUUAUGAAAAAGUAGGAUUUCGUGGUGUUGAAGAAAAGAAAUCAUUGGAAAUUCUUCUGAAAGAUGAUCGGCUUGGUAUGCUUGAUAUUGAGAAGCUUUGCACAUUUAGCCAGAGGUUUCCUCUCCCAUCCAUGUAUCGGAUCCUUGUGUGGAAGGUGCUGCUAGGAAUUCUUCCUCCUCACCAUGAAUCUCACGGGUUUGUGAUGCGAUGCCGAAAGGAGCAGUAUAAGGAUGUGCAUCAUGCUCUCCGAGUAAUUCGCUUUAUCAAGGAUUCUACCCCACAGGUUGAAGUUUUCCUCCGAAUAUACCAACUGGAGUCGGGAAAGCUUCCUCGGAAUCCAUCUCUCUCUCUGGAAGCGGAGGACGAAGUAUUCCUUGCCAUUGCUAAAGCUAUGGAAGAAAUGGUAGAAGAUCACAUUGAUUGUUAUUGGCUCAUCAGUAGCUUUGUGAACCAGUUGAACAAUAAGUACAAGGAUUCAAUACCACAGCUGCCAAAACUUUUGGAACAGUACCUGAGCCUUGAAGACAGCGGACUCUUAACGCAUCUGAAGUUGUGUUCAGCAAUGAGCCAUCUUCCUUACAAUCUUUGGUUUAGAAAGUGUUUUGCGGGUUGUCUACCUGAAUCCAGCUUACAAAGGGUUUGGGACAAAGUUAUUAGCGGCUCCUGCAAAAUUCUUGUCUUCGUUGCUGUUGAGAUUUUAUUAACCUUUAAAAUGAAGUUGAUGGCCUUGAAUAGCACAGGAAAGAUUCAACAGUUUUUGGAAAAUAUACCUCAAGAUAACACGGAUGCAAUAGUGAGCAAAGCGAUUGAGCUGUGGCACAAACAUUGUGGCACCCCUGCCCACUCAGUCUGAGACCAUGCUGCCAACCGAUCCACCCAGCAUGUGAAACCAUCACCAGCCAACCUGCAAGAUCCCUCCAGUCCUGGGCAAUUUGAAGAACCUUUUGUGUAAUGGAGAAUGCUGAGUAAUUCACAGCACAGUUGGGGAAGGCGCAGGAGCACAACGAGGCUGCAGUGACUGCAGUGAUGACGAUGAGUGGCAAUGACCAAGUUCUCCAUGUGGCAACAGGAACCUUUAGCGUUCCACUGCAAAGUCUGGAGGAUGGAGGGGGGGGGGGAGAUCCAACUAGACCUGACAUUAAAUGCGUCAUUGCAUUUAAAGUGCAGUUGUUGUUGUUGUUGUUGUUGUUGUUGUUGUUGUUGUUGUUUGAAUUAAACAACAACAUCAGCUAGAGGGGCCUGGUAAUAUUCAGGAUCACAGCAGGUUUAGAGGAGGAAUGCAACCCUUUCCUCCCCUGCUUCAGAAAAAUCCUUCCUCUGAAGCAAGUAUUUUUCACAUUAGGAGGAAAUCCCAUCCGUGCCAAUAAGGGAUUUAUCUGCCCACCAAAUGCCAGCUUCAGAGAAGGGAUUUUCCUCUUGGUACAGGAGACCCAAGAAAGCAGAAGGAAGUUCAAGAAAGGGUGGGGGAAUGGGUGUGAAGAAGCAGCAGCAAAGGCUGACUCAAAAUAUCUCAUGACGUUAUUGGACUGCCUGGCCCUUAUAAAGUUCUAUUCAAAUUCUGCCUUGAUCCAGACAUUACAAAACUGAUGUGAAGGACAACAGGUUUGGGAUGAGGGCUGGCACACCCAUUGAAUAAUUUUCCAUGGAUGCUGACCUGGAAGCCAGCACCAAACUGUUGACCAAGAAGCCAACACGAGACUGUAUGAUUCCAGACCCCUCUCUGUCUCUCCUAGAGACACACACCAGGGCAGGCUGACAAUGUCUCUCUCCCCACCCACCUUUUGCUGCCACAAAUUCCCCCUCUCCUAUGUCUUGUGCUCACUUUCCUCCCAGCGCCAUUAUCAGUAGGGUUGUUUUUUUUUAAUAAAAUAAAACAAAAAAAGGAAUUUCCUCCUAGUAUUGUUUCAGAUUCAUGUUUCAGUCAUUUUAAUAAUUAUGAGAAAUUGGCCCCUGGCCUUGCAAUGUAGCAGAGAGAGUAAUUCUAAUGUAUCCUCCACUGAGUGUAUAUUUAAAUGUGGGGAAUAUUGUGUUUUCCUGUUUAUAAAGCUAGUGCUUCUUUUCUUCUUCUUCUUUUUAAAAAAUAUGUUCUUUUCAUACUGCAGUAUCUGUUGUGUUAUGGAACAACUGACUGAUAUACUGGCAUGUCAUACAGGCAAGGAGGCAACCAAUUCACGUAGGGAUUCUGUUCCCGGGCCACACACACAUCGAUGGAGCAUGCCCUGCCUUGUUAUGCCCCACUUGCCCCAGUUCUGCCUUCUUCGGGAUCAAAAAGGACCCAUGUGUCAGUGAUCGUGCCUCCACUGGACAUGCCUAAAAUGGCCGCCGCCUGUACUAAAUUCCGUUCACACCAGUGGGCGUGGUGUGGUACAACAAUGAGCAUCAUUGGACAUUGUCCCUAUUCCCCUACCUCUUUCCGCACACGCGUGCUUCUGUUCCCUCAUGAUUCCUUCAUGAAAACAGCAGGGAAGAGCUGCACCCCAAAUGUUAUCACUUUAUUCCUGAGAUUUUCCAAGUUUAGUGGAUCAUGAAUGGAUUUUUAAUGGAAUCAAAUAACAAGGAAAUGAGCCCUAGCUUUCCAGAAACUGCUUUUACAUCAUGUGAAAAGUCAAAUAUAAUGCCGAAAUUAAACAUUAGGGAAGCAUUGGGAAAAUGGAGUAAGCUGCCACGUGAAUAAUAAUAAUAAUAAUAAUAGUUUAUUAUUUGUACCCCACCCAUCUGGCUAGGUUUCCCCAGCCACUCUGGGCAGCUUCCAACAAAGAUUAAAAUACUGUACAUUAAAAUGUCACACAUCAAAAACUUCCCUAAACAGGGCUGCCUUCAGAUGUUUUCUAAAUGUCAGUUAGUUGUUUAUCUGCAGCCUGAGCUUAUUAUUUGUUAUGGCAAUCUCUCAGUCUUCAUGGAGCUCAGCUGUGUCAAAAGCCUCUACUAGUGCUUACUCCUGAGUUGAAACAGCUGAAAGAAUUUGUAUAAGACAUUUUAAUCAGCUUUCUUGUGAGGAUGGAGAAAUCUAGUUCAGUCUCGGCAGUGGUAAUUAUUUCCUAAUGAGUCUGGUACUAAAAUGUGGAGGGGGGGGCCUUUAUUCUUCUAUGUUUUAUGUUCUUUCUGCAAAUAAUGUAGGUAAUUUAAUCAGCUGGCUGUUCCAAGACUCUGGGGGCUUCCUUUAGAAUGGUAAAAGUCUGUUAGAAAACUUGUUAAAAUUGUCAGCUGGAAUCGUACUUUGCAUCUCAACUUCUCCCAAAGGACCAGAAGGGUUUUACUCCCUUAAUUUAACUUGAGAUCUAUGUCAUUAUGUGCCAAUUCCUUAGUGAUCAGGAAAGAAUGAUGAAGUUUUGGAAAUAUUAUUAUAGUAUAAAGAAACUGACCAAGGGUUCUAACUGUUGCUACUGAAAACUGGCUGGGCCAGAAAAUUAAGGGAUUAUUCUGAAGUGGGAUACUUAGCUGUGUGGGUGCCACACACAUCUCCUUGAGCUCCUCAGAGGAAAUGUGGGGAACAAGUGCCACAAAAGCUCUUUUACUGAAAGCUCUGGGAUUGAAAGUGCUGCGCUAUCCUCUUGUUAAGUUCAAGAAUAAAUAGCUAGAUAGCUCAAGCCGCCUUAUGCAUUUGGUGAGGGUCAAAGGGAGGAAAUUGCAUGGUUCUUACCUUGUCAGC